UUGACCUCACAUCAGCUACCAAUACCCGCUGAACUUAAGCAUAUCAAUAAGCCCGGAGGAAA
rnacentral:rRNA from 1 species